GUGAGAGUAAAACAAAUAUUUUAGACAUUAUGAAGAUGAUACAUCGUAAAUCCUCUACAAGAACAAAGGAGAAAUGUAGGCACAUCAUAUAGAGAAAGGAAAUACAUUAGUAUUCAAUGUGAAGAAAAUUAUUUCUACAUGUGUUAUGUUUUGAAUCACAAAUCAAGCCUUAUUAGUUAAUGUAUUAUCUAUCUAUUUGCCUCAUUUCCAAACCCCAUGAUCACAUGGAGAGCAACCUUCUUGUGCAAUAUCAGUAAUUUGA
rnacentral:misc_RNA from 1 species